rfam:Halodesulfurarchaeum formicicum strain HSR6 chromosome, complete genome.
CCCGAGAUAUCGGGACGGGAUGUGACCCGAGAGGGUUGAACCACCAA